rnacentral:rRNA from 1 species
AACGAACGCUGGCGGCAUGCCUAACACAUGCAAGUCGAACGAGACCUUCGGGUCUAGUGGCGCACGGGUGCGUAACGCGUGGGAACCUGCCCUUAGGUUCGGAAUAACUCCCCGAAAGGGGUGCUAAUACCGGAUAAUUUCUUCGUACCAAAGAUUUAUCGCCUUUGGAUGGGCCCGCGUUGGAUUAGCUAGUUGGUAGGGUAAAAGCCUACCAAGGCGACGAUCCAUAGCUGGUCUGAGAGGAUGAUCAGCCACACUGGGACUGAGACACGGCCCAGACUCCUACGGGAGGCAGCAGUGGGGAAUAUUGGACAAUGGGCGAAAGCCUGAUCCAGCAAUGCCGCGUGAGUGAUGAAGGCCUUAGGGUUGUAAAGCUCUUUUACCCGGGAUGAUAAUGACAGUACCGGGAGAAUAAGCUCCGGCUAACUCCGUG